AUGGAAAACUUGAAACCCAACGCAUUUGUCGAGGCCCUCAAAGUCGUCGGCAAGGCGUUCGUCGUCUGGAGCAGUAACUGGAGACGCCUGCUCCCCGUCAUCGUCGGGGUGUUUCUGCUCGACCUGGCUCUGACGGUCGUGUGGGUGAAUCUAGCAAGCCUGCACCUCAAUCUUGAUUCCAUGGGGCUCUUCUUCGAAAUGGCCGACAACUCGACCACCAUGGCCGCGGGAGCCGUGGUUGUGACUCAUGUGGACGAGGGGACGGAGGUCUCGUCCUCGCGCCAACUCAUCGAAAUCGUAGGGGAAAUCUUCUUCGGGUUAUCAACAACCGUGGCCCUCCUUUCCUUCUCAUGUACAUGUAACUGCGAUCUUUCAGAUAAUAGGACUACUACUUCAGAAGGACAACACCCUUCUUUAUCGUCAUGGAGGGAAUGGAAGAGUUUGGGCAUUCAGUUGUUCACGGGGCUGGGCAUGACCAUCUUCAUAUCGGUACUUUUGGAAGUUCUUGAGCUGGACGACGACCUGUCCCACUAUCUCACCAAUUUCUUCGAUUUCGUAUACAUGCUUGCCGCUGUUGUUGCUUCAAAAGAGGGCCUCUACGGGUUCUCUGCAGCCGAGAAGGCAUGGUUAAUCAUUAGCGAAAAGUUCUAUGAGAUAACUGUGGCGGGCGCGAUGAUUUUUGUCGUCCAGGGAUGUCUAGAAAAGGUCUACACGAGUGCAAGAUUUUUACCUCGAAAGAAGGAAGUGGUGUUGGCGCUCGUGAUAAGGGAGGACACGGCGGCUGACAUCUUCCGGUACUCCGUCGCCGCAGCCUUUCUCACCGUCAUUCUGCAGGUAUUUCUGUGUUUGGUGAUUUUGGCGUUUUACGGUGGCGGCGGACGCCCAAUGGUAAGCAAGGCCUUAAUAAUGCAAGCUUCGCGAGCAAUUUCGCAUCGUUUAUAUACUCAACAGUCUGCUCCCAUUUGCAGGAUCGGCGACCCCUCGGCAACGAUGUCAGGGGCGUGCCUGCGGCGACGCACACGCAGCCGCUCCUUGAAGCAGAGGCAGCAAGGGCGGGCUCUGCUUCUGGCGGGAGUGACGCCAGCUCGAGUGCUGGAGGCCCGUCUCGCAGCCCAAACACGAGGAUGGCACGGCCCAGGAGAAAGACCAGGCCUAACCCGAAAUACGAUCCGCGUGAGUGGCAGUUGUUGUGACGGUUGUGGCGCUUCCCCCGUUGUUGUGCUCAACCCUCUACUGCUGCAGUGUAUCGACUAG
rnacentral:rRNA from 1 species